AGCAGCCGCGGUAAUUCCAGCUCCAAUAGCGUAUAUUAAAGUUGUUGCAGUUAAAAAGCUCGUAGUUGAAUUUCGGGAUCAAUUAGUCGGUCGUGCCUCUGGUACGUACUGGUUUUAUUGGUUCCUCCCUUCUGACGAAACAUGAUGUCAUUAAUUUGGUGUCGUGGGAAAUCAGGACUGUUACUUUGAAAAAAUUAGAGUGUUUAAAGCAGGCCCACGCUUGAAUACAUUAGCAUGGAAUAAUGGAAUAGGACGUUUGAUUCUAUUUUGUUGGUUUCUAGGAUCGACGUAAUGAUUAAUAGGGAUAGUUGGGGGCAUUAGUAUUCAAUUGUCAGAGGUGAAAUUCUUGGAUUUAUUGAAGACUAACUACUGCGAAAGCAUUUGCCAAGGAUGUUUUCAUUAAUCAAGAACGAAAGUUAGGGGAUCGAAGACGAUCAGAUACCGUCGUAGUCUUAACCAUAAACUAUGCCGACUAGGGAUCGGAUGAUGUUAAUUUUUUAAUGACUCAUUCGGCGCCUUA
rnacentral:misc_RNA from 1 species